rnacentral:rRNA from 1 species
UAUGGUGCUUUUUCCAAGGGUGUUCACCUCUUCCCAUACCGAACAGAGAAGUUAAGCCCCUUAUGGCCGAUGGUACUUGGCUCACGCCUGGGAGAGUAGGUAGGUGCCAUAU